GCGGGGGUGGCUCAGCUCGGCACGGCGGCGGCCUUAUAAGCCGCAGUUCCGACAGGAACGCAGGGGUUCGAAUCCCCUCCCCCGCC
rnacentral:tRNA from 1 species